GAUUUUGCUACUUGCGCACUUUUCUUGAGAGUAGAAGGAAGUGAGCCCAGCCCUUCUCAGACUAUCAGAUAUAAGCCCUGGCAGAACCCGCGUCAGACUGGUAAGCGAUGGACACCGUGAUGCUGCUUCUGUCCAUGUGGCCUGUGCUCAUGGCCACAGGGACGCUCACAGACAAGGGAGGCUGCAGAAUCGUCUGUGACCCCUCCUGCACCGAAGGCCAGCCUCUGAAGAAUGGCCUGGUGAUCCCACUUACCGGCCCAGCGGCUAGCCCAGACGUUAAAGUUGGACCACCUGGAAAGGCUGGUCCUCCUGGCCCACUGGGGUCCCGUGGACAGAAAGGGGAGCCUGGCUUGCCAGGUGAACAGGAGAAGCCAUCUCAGCACUGGGUCGCAUUUUACGCUGCCCUGAAUGAGCACUUCUCAGGUUCUACGGUUCUUAAAUUUCAAGAUGUGAUCACAAACCGGGGAGAGAGCUAUGACUCAAAGACUGGCAAGUUCAUCUGCAAGGUAGCUGGCACCUACUUUUUCACAUACCAUGUGCUGAAGAACAAUGCGGAGCAGAGCACCUGGGUGGACCUGAUGUUGAAUGGAAAGGUAUUUGCCAGUGGCAUUGCACAGGAUGGGAAUGCCAAGUUUGACACCGUGGCUAACAGUGCCAUCUUGCACUUGGCUGCAGGGGAUGAAGUCUACAUCCAGCUUGAUGGAGGAUCAGUGUUCAAGGACAGUAUCAAUCGGUACAGCACCUUCUCCGGCUUUCUGCUGUUUGUCGACUAGAAGGAAAGGUUGCUUGAAGGAGCACAAGAUGGCUAUGAACAAAAUCUGUAGCAGACUCUGAGAUCUGUCUGUGCAAAUGCCGGUUAGGAAAUCAAAGUGUCCACCCGUGUCCAUCUGUUAAAGGUUUGCUAUUUGAACCAAUCUGGUUAGAGACAGCAGCAGGAACCUUCAGCUGGGCAAAAGUGGCCAGGGAGGACACAGGGUUUAAUCUUACAGUCCAUUGAUACCUCAAGCCUGUGAUGGAGCCUCUUAUCUAAUUGCUCCAUAUCAUUAUACCUACAACUAGCUGUGCUACCCAUCUACGACAGGUCAAAACCUAAAUAAUCAACUAGGACCUCAGUGGUUAUGAUUGCAAUGCACCAUCUAUAGGAUUGCAUUUAUUUAAUGCAUGUAGUAAUACAAUGCAAAGCAUGUGUCAUUCCAACAGGUGGUGCAUCACAAUAAUUUAUAUCAAUAAAAUGCAUUACUACAGAUGUUACUAUGACAAAUGCUAUGCAUAUGUCUCUGUUAUAUGCUAUUUGGUAUUUGAUUCAUAAAAGCAGAAGUAAGGUUUAUGAUGUGCCACCUGUUGGAAUAACAAAUGCAGUGCAUUUACUACAAAUAUUUGCGAUGUGCCAUCUGUUGGAAUGACAGAGACAUGGCCACCAGAUGCACACUCAUCCUUUCAUUUAGGUGGAUAAGCAUCUUUUUUUAGAUAUUAAAACUAGCACUGAAGCCUGACUUUUCUGUUCAACACAUCCAUUGCUGCAUGUUGAUUAGAAUUUAAGUGACCAUAAUAACCUUAUAAACCCCAUUUACUUAUUGUGUGGUAUAGUGGUUGAGGCUUUGGAAUUCAAACCCUGAAGUUGUGGAUUGAAAGUCCACUAGUGACACUGUGUGAUCAUAAGUAAGUCACUUCACCUGUCACAAAUGCAACCAAUUGUAUCUCAAAUGUUUUAAUAAAAGCGUCAGCAAAAUACUAAGUAAUAAGAGUAAUUGGGCCACACAUUAGAGCUUGAGUUGCUUUUGAGAUCAUCGACUGGCCAGAUCUCUUAUUUGCUAAAAUGAGGUCACUUGACGCCAACUGCAGGGUCAGUGAUGGCUUCGGCCUAGCAGUUCAUCAUUCACCCUCAUCACUAACUCACUGCUUUAUAGGAACUUUAGGAAGGAAGAUCCAUUGAAAGACCACAGAGUUCAUUUUGAGGGUUGUUUGUUACAUCUAACGAAACAAAACCCUGAUGCCCCUAACCAGGGAUGGACUUGCUCACCCUGAUCUAACUACUAAAUUGAGACUUCUAUAGGGACUGACUCAGAUCUAUUGUAUUAAUACUCCAUUGUGACACGGACAGACUCCAUUCAAAGGACAUUCACUGUACGCUUGUGCCAUCUAGUGGCCUCUUUGAGAAUUUCACCGUUUUUACGCUAAAAUUCCUGUCAUUGAUUUCCAGGACCAAACUGGGAAAGGUUGAUGCAGAGAAAUUACAGCAGUUUUUUCGAGAUUAUUCGAAGUUAAUUACUUUCCUGUUUUAUUUGUAUGCAUAUUAUUAAUUUUAAUCUAAAAUAAUUAAGCCUUUCCUACUUAGUAAUUGUGCUACUCUUCUUCUUUCGGCUGCUCCCAUUAGGGCUACUAUUUCUAAUAAUGCAUUUCAUGAACGUAUCUGUGGGAAGUGACCAAUAUAAAAUAAACUUGAUUGCCUUACAUUGUAUGCUGCCCUUACAAUAAAGUGUUAUUCAAAGCAAAUAAGGCGUAUAGUGUGGUC